rnacentral:rRNA from 1 species
UUGCUCCUGGGUGACGAGCGGCGGACGGGUGAGUAAUGUCUGGGAAACUGCCUGAUGGAGGGGGAUAACUACUGGAAACGGUAGCUAAUACCGCAUAACGUCGCAAGACCAAAGAGGGGGACCUUCGGGCCUCUUGCCAUCAGAUGUGCCCAGAUGGGAUUAGCUAGUAGGUGGGGUAACGGCUCACCUAGGCGACGAUCCCUAGCUGGUCUGAGAGGAUGACCAGCCACACUGGAACUGAGACACGGUCCAGACUCCUACGGGAGGCAGCAGUGGGGAAUAUUGCACAAUGGGCGCAAGCCUGAUGCAGCCAUGCCGCGUGUAUGAAGAAGGCCUUCGGGUUGUAAAGUACUUUCAGCGGGGAGGAAGGCGUUGAGGUUAAUAACCUCAGCGAUUGACGUUACCCGCAGAAGAAGCACCGGCUAACUCCGUGCCAGCAGCCGCGGUAAUACGGAGGGUGCAAGCGUUAAUCGGAAUUACUGGGCGUAAAGCGCACGCAGGCGGUCUGUCAAGUCGGAUGUGAAAUCCCCGGGCUCAACCUGGGAACUGCAUUCGAAACUGGCAGGCUAGAGUCUUGUAGAGGGGGGUAGAAUUCCAGGUG